rnacentral:rRNA from 1 species
AUUGAACGCUGGCGGCAUGCUUUACACAUGCAAGUCGAACGGCAGCACGGGCUUCAGCCUGGUGGCGAGUGGCGAACGGGUGAGUAAUAUAUCGGAACGUACCCAGAAGUGGGGGAUAACGUAGCGAAAGUUACGCUAAUACCGCAUACGAUCUAUGGAUGAAAGCAGGGGACCGCAAGGCCUUGUGCUCCUGGAGCGGCCGAUAUCUGAUUAGCUAGUUGGUGAGGUAAAGGCUCACCAAGGCGACGAUCAGUAGCUGGUCUGAGAGGACGACCAGCCACACUGGAACUGAGACACGGUCCAGACUCCUACGGGAGGCAGCAGUGGGGAAUUUUGGACAAUGGGCGCAAGCCUGAUCCAGCAAUGCCGCGUGAGUGAAGAAGGCCUUCGGGUUGUAAAGCUCUUUUGUCAGGGAAGAAACGGUAGAGGCUAAUAUCCUUUGCUAAUGACGGUACCUGAAGAAUAAGCACCGGCUAACUACGUG